GGCCAAGUCCUCAUCUUUUUCGCUGUUGUCUGAUUUUUCAGAGUCAUCUUCUUCUUGAGCUGUUGACUUGAGGGUUAUGGUCCUCUUUCUUCUGGUUUCCUCUUCGGUGUGCUACUUUAUGGUCAGUUCAUGGGUCAUGAGGGAUCCAAGCAGUUCCUCUAAUGGUAGAACAUUCAAGUCUUUGGCCUCUUGAAUUGCAGUGACUUUCGCUUUCCAUGAUCUUAGUAA
rnacentral:lncRNA from 1 species